rnacentral:rRNA from 1 species
CACGUAGGAGGCGAGCGUUGUCCGGAAUCAUUGGGCGUAAAGAGCGCGCAGGCGGCUUGGCAAGUCGGAUGUGAAAUCCCUCGGCUCAACCAAGGAAGUGCAUCCGAAACUGCUGAGCUUGAGUACUUAAGAGGAUCGCGGAAUUCCCGGUGUAGAGGUGAAAUUCGUAGAUAUCGGGAGGAACACCAGUGGCGAAGGCGGCGAUCUGGGAAGAUACUGACGCUGAGGUGCGAAAGCGUGGGGAGCAAACAGG